rnacentral:rRNA from 1 species
CCUACGGGUGGCAGCAGUGAGGAAUAUUGGUCAAUGGCCGGAAGGCUGAACCAGCCAAGCCGCGUGAAGGACGAAGGUGCCAAGCAUUGUAAACUUCUUUUGUCAAGGGACAAAAUCAGGCUCGAGAGCCUGACCGUGGGUACUUGAAGAAAAAGCAUCGGCUAACUCCGUGCCAGCAGCCGCGGUAAUACGGAGGAUGCGAGCGUUAUCCGGAUUUAUUGGGUUUAAAGGGUGCGUAGACGGGAUGUUAAGUCAGCGGUAAAAGCCCGGGGCUCAACCCUCGGAUGGCCGUUGAAAUUGGCUGUCUUGAGAUGAGUAGAGGUAUGCGGAAUGCGCAGUGUAGCGGUGAAAUGCUUAGAUAUUGCGCAGAACUCCGAUUGCGAAGGCAGCAUACCGGCGGGGAUCUGACGCUGAGGCACGAAAGCGUGGGUAUCGAACAGGAUUAGAUACCCUUGUAGUC